UACAGAGGGUGCAAGCGUUUAAUCGGAAUUACUGGGCGUAAAGCGUGCGUAGACGGUUAUGUAAGUCGGGUGUGAAAGCCCCGGGCUCAACCUGGGAAUGCCAUUCGAGACUGCAUAGCUAGGGUGCGGAAGAGGGAAGCGGAAUUUCCGGUGUAGCGGUGAAAAUGCGUAGAUAUCGGAAGGAACACCAGUGGCGAAAGCGGCUUCCUGGUCCAGCACCGACGUCAGGCACGAAAGCGUGGGGAGCAAACAGG
rnacentral:rRNA from 1 species